GCGGACGGGUGAGUAACACGUGGGUAACCUACCUAUAAGACUGGGAUAACUUCGGGAAACCGGAGCUAAUACCGGAUAACAUUUGGAACCGCAUGGUUCUAAAGUGAAAGAUGGUUUUGCUAUCACUUAUAGAUGGACCCGCGCCGUAUUAGCUAGUUGGUAAGGUAACGGCUUACCAAGGCAACGAUACGUAGCCGACCUGAGAGGGUGAUCGGCCACACUGGAACUGAGACACGGUCCAGACUCCUACGGGAGGCAGCAGUAGGGAAUCUUCCGCAAUGGGCGAAAGCCUGACGGAGCAACGCCGCGUGAGUGAUGAAGGGUUUCGGCUCGUAAAACUCUGGUUAUUAGGGAAGAACAAACGUGUAAGUAACUGUGCACGUCUUGACGGUACCUAAUCAGAAAGCCACGGCUAACUACGUGCCAGCAGCCGCGGUAAUACGUAGGUGGCAAGCGUUAUCCGGAAUUAUUGGGCGUAAAGCGCGCGUAGGCGGUUUCUUAAGUCUGAUGUGAAAGCCCACGGCUCAACCGUGGAGGGUCAUUGGAAACUGGGAAACUUGAGUGCAGAAGAGGAAAGUGGAAUUCCAUGUGUAGCGGUGAAAUGCGCAGAGAUAUGGAGGAACACCAGUGGCGAAGGCGACUUUCUGGUCUGUAACUGACGCUGAUGUGCGAAAGCGUGGGGAUCAAACAGGAUUAGAUACCCUGGUAGUCCACGCCGUAAACGAUGAGUGCUAAGUGUUAGGGGGUUUCCGCCCCUUAGUGCUGCAGCUAACGCAUUAAGCACUCCGCCUGGGGAGUACGACCGCAAGGUUGAAACUCAAAGGAAUUGACGGGGACCCGCACAAGCGGUGGAGCAUGUGGUUUAAUUCGAAGCAACGCGAAGAACCUUACCAAAUCUUGACAUCCUUUGAAAACUCUAGAGAUAGAGCCUUCCCCUUCGGGGGACAAAGUGACAGGUGGUGCAUGGUUGUCGUCAGCUCGUGUCGUGAGAUGUUGGGGUUAAGUCCCGCAACGAGCGCAACCCUUAAGCUUAGUUGCCAUCAUUAAGUUGGGCACUCUAGGUUGACUGCCGGUGACAAACCGGAGGAAGGUGGGGAUGACGUCAAAUCAUCAUGCCCCUUAUGAUUUGGGCUACACACGUGCUACAAUGGACAAUACAAAGGGCAGCUAAACCGCGAGGUCAUGCAAAUCCCAUAAAGUUGUUCUCAGUUCGGAUUGUAGUCUGCAACUCGACUACAUGAAGCUGGAAUCGCUAGUAAUCGUAGAUCAGCAUGCUACGGUGAAUACGUUCCCGGGUCUUGUACACACCGCCCGUCACACCACGAGAGUUUGUAACACCCGAAGCCGGUGGAGUAACCA
rnacentral:rRNA from 1 species